CCCUGGCUCAGGACGAACGCUGGCGGCGUGCCUAAUACAUGCAAGUCGAACGGACUUUACAUAGAAGCUUGCUUCUAAGUUUAGUUAGUGGCGGACGGGUGAGUAACACGUAGGCAACCUGCCCACAAGAUCGGGAUAACAUUCGGAAACGAAUGCUAAGACCGGAUGCACACUUCCCUCGCAUGAGGGGAAUGGGAAACACGGCGUAAGCUGUGGCUUGUGGAUGGGCCUGCGGCGCAUUAGCUAGUUGGUGGGGUAAUGGCUCACCAAGGCGACGAUGCGUAGCCGACCUGAGAGGGUGAACGGCCACACUGGGACUGAGACACGGCCCAGACUCCUACGGGAGGCAGCAGUAGGGAAUCUUCCACAAUGGGCGAAAGCCUGAUGGAGCAACGCCGCGUGAGUGAGGAAGGCUUUCGGGUCGUAAAGCUCUGUUGCCAGGGAAGAAUAAGGGCGAGAGUAACUGCUCGCCCGAUGACGGUACCUGAGAAGAAAGCCCCGGCUAACU
rnacentral:rRNA from 1 species